AUUGAACGCUGGCGGCAGGCCUAACACAUGCAAGUCGAGCGGAUGAAGGGAGCUUGCUCCUGGCUUCAGCGGCGGACGGGUGAGUAAUGCCUAGGAAUCUGCCUGGUCGUGGGGGAUAACAUCCGGAAACGGGCGCUAAUACCGCAUACGUCCUGAGGGUGAACGUGGGGGAUCUUCGGACCUCACGCUAUCAGCUGAGCCUAGGUCGGAUUAGCUAGUUGGUGGGGUAAAGGCCUACCAAGGCGACGAUCCGUAACUGGUCUGAGAGGAUGAUCAGUCACACUGGAACUGAGACACGGUCCAGACUCCUACGGGAGGCAGCAGUGGGGAAUAUUGGACAAUGGGCGAAAGCCUGAUCCAGCCAUGCCGCGUGUGUGAAGAAGGUCUUCGGAUUGUAAAGCACUUUAAGUUGGGAGGAAGGGCAGUAAGUUAAUACCUUGCUGUUUUGACGUUACCAACAGAAUAAGCACCGGCUAACUUCGUG
rnacentral:rRNA from 1 species